CCAUGUGAAUCGUGCCAUCCCACGACUCGGCUUAUGGCCUAACAACACACGCACACGACCCGGCCAAACGUGAUCUCUCACGUUAGCCCAUAACUAACUCAUGCAGCACGUUGGAUGUGCCAUGCCAACUACAUGCAAACCUAACACGAAACUAGACAAACUAAACCUCAACGGUGAACGGGCACGUUUCAGGCUACAAGAUGCAAACACAUGCUGACAUGCACAUAAUCAAACUAGCCUAAUUAACCAAUGCAUGGAGCUGAAAACAAAUGCAAGAUCUGACAGACUCUAAAACAAGAUUAGCACUAACAAUCACCUACCUAAUCUUGUUACACAAUUUAUUUCUGCAUACCGAGCACCUUCAUGCUGGCUUGAUGUCAGCGCUGUCUUGAACAGGACCUCUGUUUUCUACUGCUGUCAUGGAAGUUCGAUUAAACACAACUGCCUCUUCUUCAAAUUCAGCACAUAGAGCCGAUUCUUAGUUUUCCGGGCUCUGGCUAUCAGCUUCCCUGAGUGAUCAAACACACUCAGAAACCCAUGUCGUAGAACUGAUUUGCACCCUUCCUCGUUGAGCUGACCAAGACUUAGUAUACUGCUUGUGAGUUUGGAAACAAAAUACACAUCAUUAAGGAGUAUGUGCUGCCCGCUUACUUUGCUUCGGCUGCAGCCAGCUCCCCACGCAGCCUCUCUGCUUCGUCCUUGGCAGCUUCCAACUCCUCCAUGGAUGCACCAAAAAGAGUGAUCUCAGCCUUCUUCUCUUUGGGCUUGACCUUGGCGUGCUCCACCAAUGGCCCGUGCUCACAUGCCAUCGCCAUCAACAGUGCUGGUUCGUCGUCGCCGGCGUCGGCGAGCAGCACCUUUUCUUUCUUCGGCUCCUCGCACUCAGAGGCGAAAUGGCCCUUCUCGCCACACUAGAAGCAAGUGAUCCUCGACUUGUCAAACUUGCCACGACGUUCCUUCUUCUUACCGUCCUGGCCGCGGCCACCGCCACGCCCGUCCUGGUCGUCAUUCUUGUUGCCGCUGCUGGAGCCCACACCCUUCUUCUUCUCUUUAAGGAUCAACUCUUCUAGCUGGGCACGUGAAACAAGCAUUAGCUUCUCGCCUUCAUCGCCACCAUUCUGACGACGACCGCGCUGGUUCUGCUCGAACGCGGUGAGGCGCCCAAUCGCCUCUUGCACCGUCAUCGCGGAGACAUCACCCCACUGCUCAAUGGUGUUGACGAUUUUCCGUGAAACGGUCUGGAACAGCGCUGAAGAGCCGCUCCACCACGGCCUCAUCUUCAAGUGUGACGUCGAGAGAGUGGAUCUCGCUCACCAACGGGAUGAGCUUCUUGGCGAACUCUGGGAUCGUCUCCCGGUCAGCCAUGUCGAGGCGAUCAAACUGCUUCUUCAGUUGUCGUGCAUGCGCCUUCUUCACGCGAUCCUCACCGAGGCGCGCACAACGGAUCAUCUCCCACGCCUCACGCGCGGUGUCGCACUCCGCAACCUGCAGCAUCACGUGAUCCGGAACGGAUUGAGAGAGCGCGGCGAACGCCCCUUCAUCCGCAGCCUGAUCAUACUCACCAGAGCCUUCAAUCGCGGACCAAAUACGCAACGGCUUCAUCAGGACCUUCAUCUUCGCAGCCCACAGCGAGUAGUUGGUGUCCGUCAGCAUCGGAUACUGGACGGGCACACUCAUGGCCCUCGACGGGGUAGCGAGCACGACAGCGCCGCCGUCCGCUGCAGCAGCCUUCCUGGCCGCCGGCGGCAUGUACUUUCCGCCGCCGCUGCUGCUCUUCCCGUCGCUACUCUUCGGAGAUGUAUCCCCCAUCGCCACCGCAGAAACUCCUCCGAUCAGCGUCGCCAAACGCCCAAGAUCCUAAGCCUAAAGCUCUGUAUACCAAUUGUUAGAUCAGAGGGAGGAAACACACGGGAUCACGGUAGCGGCGAGAGACGCACAGAGCGGAACGACACAAGGAAGAAGAUGAUUUUGUGCCGCGUGACUUCCUUGGCUUCUUUCUCUUUCCUUUUAUUCCGUUACUGAGAUUAAGAUCCUAUAGUUACACCACAACCCAUGUGAAUCGUGCCAUCCCACGACUCGGCUUAUGGCCUAACAACACACGCACACGACACGGCCAAAUGUGAUCUCUCACGUUAGCCCAUAUAACUAACUCAUGCAGCACGUUGGAUGUGCCAUGCCAACUACAUGCAAACCUAACACGAAACUAGACAAACUAAACCUCAACGUGAACGGGCACGUUUCAGGCUACAAGAUG
rnacentral:lncRNA from 1 species